rnacentral:ncRNA from 1 species
CACUCCCCUCGAUAAGGGUGGAAGAGGUCCCACUGACCUUUACAACACAUAUACAUUUAAGGCAUUGCCACGUACUCUGUGGCAUCUAACCUUGGU